CUACGGAGGGUGCGAGCGUUAAUCGGAAUUACUGGGCGUAAAGCGUACGUAGGCGGUUCGUUAAGUUAGAUGUGAAAGCCCCGGGCUUAACCUGGGAACUGCAUUUAAAACUGGCGAACUAGAGUUAAGUAGAGGAGAGUGGAAUUUCAGGUGUAGCGGUGAAAUGCGUAGAGAUCUGAAGGAACACCAGUGGCGAAGGCGACUCUCUGGACUUAAACUGACGCUGCGGUACGAAAGCGUGGGUAGCAAACGGGAUUAGAAACCCUAGUAGUCC
rnacentral:rRNA from 1 species